rnacentral:rRNA from 1 species
UACGGGGGGGGCAAGCGUUGUUCGGAAUUACUGGGCGUAAAGGGCUCGUAGGUGGCCAACUAAGUCAGACGUGAAAUCCCUCAGCUUAACUGGGGAACUGCGUCUGAUACUGGAUGGCUUGAGUUUGGGAGAGGGAUGCGGAAUUCCAGGUGUAGCGGUGAAAUGCGUAGAUAUCUGGAGGAACACCGGUGGCGAAGGCGACAUCCUGGACCAACACUGACGCUGAGUGAGCGAAAGCCAGGGGAGCAAACGGG